rnacentral:pre_miRNA from 1 species
AAUAUACUCUCUCAAUCUGGAAUUGUUUGUUGUGGAAAUGGAUGUAUCUAGACAUAAUUUAAGUUCUUGAUACAUUCAUUUUUAUCUAUUUUUGCGACAAGUAAUUCGGAACGGAGGGAGUAUGAG